UACAGAGGGUGCGAGCGUUGUUCGGAAUUAUUGGGCGUAAAGCGCGUGUAGGCGGCUCAACAAGUCAGGUGUGAAAGCCCUCGGCUUAACCGAGGAAGUGCGCCUGAAACUGUUGGACUUGAGUACCGGAGAGGGUGGUGGAAUUCCCGGUGUAGAGGUGAAAUUCGUAGAUAUCGGGAGGAACACCAGUGGCGAAGGCGACCACCUGGACGGCUACUGACGCUGAGACGCGAAAGCGUGGGGAGCAAACAGG
rnacentral:rRNA from 1 species